CACCGCGGUUAUACGAAAGACCCUAGUUGAUGGGAGCGGCGUAAAGGGUGGUUAAGGAACUAACAUUAAUAAAGCCAAAGACCCUCCAGGCCGUCAUACGCUCUCUGAGGAUACGAAACCCAUAUACGAAAGUAGCUUUAAUUAUAACACCUGACCCCACGAAAGCUAAGAAA
rnacentral:rRNA from 1 species